rnacentral:rRNA from 1 species
UACGAAGGGGGCUAGCGUUGCUCGGAAUCACUGGGCGUAAAGGGUGCGUAGGCGGGUUUUUAAGUCAGGGGUGAAAUCCUGGAGCUCAACUCCAGAACUGCCUUUGAUACUGAAGAUCUUGAGUCCGGGAGAGGUGAGUGGAACUGCGAGUGUAGAGGUGAAAUUCGUAGAUAUUCGCAAGAACACCAGUGGCGAAGGCGGCUCACUGGCCCGGUACUGACGCUGAGGUGCGAAAGCGUGGGGAGCAAACAGGG